GAUGAACGCCGGCGGUGUGCCUAAUACAUGCAAGUCGAACGCGUUGGCCCAAUUGAUUGAUGGUGCUUGCACCUGAUUGAUUUUGGCCGCCAACGAGUGGCGGACGGGUGAGUAACACGUAGGUAACCUGCCCAGAAGCGGGGGACAACAUUUGGAAACAGAUGCUAAUACCGCAUAACAACGUCGUUCGCAUGAACAACGCUUAAAAGAUGGCUUCUCGCUAUCACUUCUGGAUGGACCUGCGGUGCAUUAGCUUGUUGGUGGGGUAAUGGCCUACCAAGGCGAUGAUGCAUAGCCGAGUUGAGAGACUGAUCGGCCACAAUGGGACUGAGACACGGCCCAUACUCCUACGGGAGGCAGCAGUAGGGAAUCUUCCACAAUGGGCGCAAGCCUGAUGGAGCAACACCGCGUGAGUGAAGAAGGGUUUCGGCUCGUAAAGCUCUGUUGUUAAAGAAGAACACGUAUGAGAGUAACUGUUCAUACGUUGACGUAUUAACCAGAAAGUC
rnacentral:rRNA from 2 species